UACGUAGGGUGCGAGCGUUAAUCGGAAUUACUGGGCGUAAAGCGUGCGCAGGCGGUUCGCUGUGUCCGAUGUGAAAGCCCCGGGCUUAACCUGGGAAUGGCAUUGGGAACUGGCGGGCUUGAGUGUGGCAGAGGGGGGUGGAAUUCCGCGUGUAGCAGUGAAAUGCGUAGAGAUGCGGAGGAACACCGAUGGCGAAGGCAGCCCCCUGGGCUAACACUGACGCUCAGGCACGAAAGCGUGGGGAGCAAACAGG
rnacentral:rRNA from 1 species